rnacentral:rRNA from 1 species
UACGGAGGAUGCGAGCGUUAUCCGGAAUCAUUGGGUUUAAAGGGUGCGUAGGCUGGUAUUUAAGUCAGUGGUGAAAUUUUCGUGCUUAACAUGAGAGCUGCCAUUGAUACUGGGUACCUAGAGUGUAUUUGAUGUGGGCGGAAUGUGUUGUGUAGCGGUGAAAUGCUUAGAUAUGACACAGAACACCGAUAGCGAAGGCAGCUCGACAAAGUUACAACUGACGCUGAUGCACGAAAGCGUGGGGAUCAAACAGG